rnacentral:misc_RNA from 1 species
GGGGUGGUGUGGUGUGGGGUGGGGUGGGGUUUUCAUACUGCAUGCCAGUUCCCAUUCCCAUAAAUAAUCCAAGAUUCUGGUCAUAUGUCACAGUGAGCUGCAUUUCCAAUUGAGCAUUAUGGUAUUCUAUUAGGACAUUUCAGGUUCGCCUAUUCUUUGUCCCCAUCAAAUGAACAAGUUGAGACCGCAAUUUCUAGAACCUUUCAGUUAUUACACUUCAAAUGAUUUUAACCAAUGCAAUCUCCAGUACUGUCCUGUCUAAUUUGAGUUCCAGAAUCCAUGCUAGGAAUAUGAACUUAAUCUUAUCCGUGAUAGCCAU